AUUGAACGCUGGCGGCAUGCCUAACACAUGCAAGUCGAACGAGUGGCGGACGGGUGAGUAAUGUCUGGGAAACUGCCUGAUGGAGGGGGAUAACUACUAGAAACCGUAGCUAAUACCGCAUACCAUCAGAUGUGCCCAGAUGGGAUGAGCUUGUUGGUGGGGUAACGGCUCACCAAGGCGACGCUCCCUAGCUGGUCUGAGAGGAUGACCAGCCACACUGGAACUGAGACACGGUCCAGACUCCUACGGGAGGCAGCAGUGGGGAAUAUUGAACAAUGGGCGAAAGCCUGAUGCAGCCAUGCCGCGUGUAUGAAGAAGGCCUUCGGGUUGUAAAGUACUUUCAGCGGGGAGGCGUUACCCACAGAAGAAGCACCGGCUAACUACGUGCCAGCAGCCGCGGUAAUAC
rnacentral:rRNA from 1 species